CCUACGGGUGGCAGCAGUGAGGAAUAUUGGUCAAUGGACGCAAGUCUGAACCAGCCAUGCCGCGUGCAGGAAGACGGCUCUAUGAGUUGUAAACUGCUUUUGUACGAGGGUAAACGCAGAUACGCGUAUCUGUCUGCAAGUAUCGUACGAAUAAGGAUCGGCUAACUCCGUGCCAGCAGCCGCGGUAAUACGGAGGAUUCAAGCGUUAUCAGGAUUUAUUGGGUUUAAAGGGUGCGUAGGCGGUCGGAUAAGUUAGAGGUGAAAUCCCGAGGCUCAACUUCGGAAUUGCCUCUGAUACUGUUCGGCUAGAGAGUAGUUGCGGUAGGCGGAAUGUAUGGUGUAGCGGUGAAAUGCUUAGAGAUCAUACAGAACACCGAUUGCGAAGGCAGCUUACCAAGCUACGUCUGACGUUGAGGCACGAAAGCGUGGGGAGCAAACAGGAUUAGAUACCCCUGUAGUC
rnacentral:rRNA from 1 species